ACUACCAUUGUAUGAAUCAAUUAUUUUAUGACUGAGUACUCAACACGCCUGACCUGACUGUAUAUCUACACAGAAAGGCUGCAGCAGUACCCAUCACCUCAAACCAUGGACGUGAAGCUUGCAUGAAACCGUCAAAGGAUGCUAUAAGUAGCUGGGCCCCAUGGACCAAGAUGACUUCAGUCAAGUCUCUGAUACAUCUUUGAAGAUCUCAGUGAUGUAACAUGGCCAGAUGCCUAAAGCUCCUUCUGACGUGACUUCCCCUCCAGGAUGGGCUUACCCCAAAACUAUCAUCCGAAGUAAGUCCUUCCUGAAGUCACUUUUGCUGAGUAUUUGAUCACAGAAAUGAUACCCAUAGUGAGUACACUGGGUGAUUAUGUGUUAUGUUUAGCCAUCCCUUCUUCCAAAUCUGUGACAGUUG